UGAUUUUCUUUCUUUUUUCUUUUUUUUAAAAAAAAAAAAAAAAAAUGGUAUUAAUGUUUUGCGAAUUUUUCGUUUAUCU
rnacentral:ribozyme from 12 species